rnacentral:rRNA from 1 species
AGAGUUUGAUCCAUGGCUCAGAACGAACGCUGGCGGCAUGCCUAACACAUGCAAGUCGAACGGGAUCCGGGUCUUCGGUCCGGUGAGAGUGGCGGACGGGUGAGUAACACGUGGGAACCUGCCUUUGGUUCGGGAUAACCGCGGGAAACUGCGGCUAAUACCGGAUACUCCCGAGAGGGGAAAGAUUUAUCGCCAGAAGAGGGGCCCGCGUCCGAUUAGGUAGUUGGUGGGGUAAUGGCCUACCAAGCCGACGAUCGGUAGCUGGUCUGAGAGGAUGAUCAGCCACACUGGGACUGAGAUACGGCCCAGACUCCUACGGGAGGCAGCAGUGGGGAAUAUUGGACAAUGGGGGCAACCCUGAUCCAGCAAUGCCGCGUGAGUGAUGAAGGCCUUAGGGUUGUAAAGCUCUUUUGCCAGGGAAGAUGAUGACUGUACCUGGAGAAUAAGCCCCGGCUAACUUCGUG